AAGGGGUGAAAAUGUCAUCGGGAGUGGAUUGCCGUUGGCGUCAUAUUUUGAACCUGGAGUUGAGCGGUGAUGACGAUAUGGGAAGCGAGGAAGGCGGGAAGAGGGCACUUGGAGGAGAAAGGCAUCAUCCACCCUAUGCCUGUGCGUCAGCCAUGAUGGUGGACGGUUGUGGGCAGAUCCGAUGUCUGCAUGUGGAUCUACUACUCGGGAUGGCAUGACAUGGUUGUUGUGGAGUGAGGUGCCACAACUGUUGUGUUGUGUGGGUGAGUUCGGAGAGAUAGAAGUCGUGUUUCACUUUAGUCUAGGCCUUCAACUGUACCAAGUUCAACUUAUUUAGAGUUUCUGCUCUCUCAAGCUCAAGCCUUUCUCUGAACCAAAUCUAACCCAAGAAACCGCUUAGCUAUAAAAGUUUUGAUAGCAUGGACUUAUAUUGAUGUGCUUAACUUAUGGAAUUGUAAGAGCACCUGUUAAGCACCAACAACUUUUGCCUGGAAUAAAGUUGACAUGAAAUUGUGAUUGUGUGAGUUAAAUCAUUUUACAUCCUUAAGCCCCAAGAUGCGCCAAGUUGGGUGGUGCCAUACAGAAUUUGUUUUGAGGAGUUAUGAUUGGAGUCUGAUGGUGAUGUAGAACUGAUAUUCCGGAGAUAGUCAAAGAUUUUUUGGUGGAUUAUUAUAUUUUAGGUCUAGUUGAGCAUGGUGAUUAUUAUAUUGGUGGAUAAAUAGGUCUAUUAAUCUUGGAACUAUUUUGAUUUAGUUCGAUGAUUGUGAUCUUGAACCAAAUUUCACGAUGGAUAAAUAACUUUAAUUGUACAUAUAAAGAUCCAUAGUCUGUCAAUAGAACUUGUGGUUUAUAUUGGAUUUAGAUAACCAUGAGUUUGGAGUUUAUUUAAAUUAUGGUUAUGAUGUUGGUGGAUUGCUUUGUGUUAAAUUCACACUUUUGGAGAUUGAAGUUGGAGAACUUUAGGGUGUAGUAUGUUAAACCUUGGAUAUAUCAAAUUUAUAUAGGUUAGAUGAGAGUUUGCAGCACCAAUCAUGAUUAUAAUAAUUGGUAGGUUAUUGGAGCAUCUGGAAUUGGAUUAGUAGCAAGGAAAGGAGGAUUUUGAAGUAACACAACUUGUGUUUCCUUUAGGCUAGAUGAGUCUUAGCAACAUGAAUCAUGAUUAUGAAAAUGGUGGAUUAUUGGAGCAUCUGGGAUUGGAUUUAUAGUAAGGAAACAAGGAUCUUGGAGUAGCACAACUUGUGUUUCCUUUAAGUUAAAUGAUAUAGCUACUUGGAUUCUAGGAUGGAGAUAACUUUGGCACUCGGAUUUGUGAUGUUUUGAACUAAGCUUAGUAUUAGUAGCUUGCAUGUGCCCCAUAUGGAUAAAAUCAUGAAUAUGAUACAUGUGGAUUAGAGUUGUUAGACGUAGGUUAUUUUUGUGUCCCUCCCCAAGAAUGUUAUGAGUACAAGAUCAUCAUUUUGGAUUAAUUUGAAGAGAUGGCAAUUUUCAUGGUAUGUGAUAACCUUGUGGGAGUUGGCCCAUAUGAGCAUCAUAAUAGCUAGCAUUAGAGAAACAGUGUUUAUGUAUGUUAUGGUGAACUUUAACCCUCACACCCAAAUCCUAUCAACCCUUAAGUCUCACCAAGCCAUGACUUGGCCAAGCCGCGACAACGGAGCUGGAUAUUAAGCCUAAGGAUGUGGCCCUUGGACCAACUCUUAUACUCCACCUAUUUGAUGAACAUCAUGAACAACAUAUUCAUGAGUUUUUGGACAAGUUUGUGGUUAUCAUCAUUGAUGACCUCUUGGUCUAUUCUCCCUCUGAGGAAGAUGAUAAGCAACACUUGCGAAUGGUUUUGGACAAACUUCAAGAACCCCAAUUAUAUUCCAAGUUCAAGAAGUAUAAAAUUUGGUUAAAAGAAGUUGGGUUGUGAGGACAUGUUUUGUCCAUAGAAGGUUUGUUAAUAGACCCGUCAAGGAUAGAAUCCAUAACCACGUGGAGGGCUAAAUGAAUGUGGUCAGAAGUUUCUGCGGACUUAUGGGUUAUUACCGCAAAUUUGUGGAAGACUUUUGAGCACCACCGAUGACUUUUAACUCCUGAAGAAAGAUAAGAAGUUUGAAUGAACGCUUAAGUGUGAAGAGAGCUUCCAAGAGUUUAAGAAAAGGUUAACCGUUGGUCCGUCCUUAGCCACCCCAGACAUUUAUAAGAGUUCUAAAAUUAUUGUGAUGCAUCUAAGCAUGGACUUAUGAAGGGAACUACCCUACCCAUGAUUUGGAUAUAGCAGAAGUAGAUGCUUGACGUAUGUCUUCUUCUAGAUGAACUUAAACAUGAGAAAAAGAAGAUGGGGAGAUUUAAUCAACCACUAUGACUUUGAUAUCCAUUACCACCCAGAUAAGUGAUGAAGUGGCUCUCGGGCUCUCGGCAGGAAGUCGUAUCAAGAAGAAUAGAAGAAAUUAAUGAAAUAAGUUAGGCGCAGAGCUAGUCAGUAGUGGCUAUCACGCUAACUUCGAUAUUAGGCCCACUCCUAGGUUGAAUCAAGAAGAAUAGAAGAAAUCAAUGAAAUAAUCAAGCAUGGGAAGGCCCUGCAUUCCUUUGGUUUGGAUGUCGCAUCUGCAUAUCUAACCAAGAAGGUUUGAAGAAGUGGAAUCUACAAGCAGCUCAUGGCACCCGUUUAUUCCAUCCACCUAGGGAGUACCAAGUUAUACCAGGACGAAAGGAGUUCCUAGUGGAAUGGAAUGGAUCUAGUUAGGUGAUUGUGAUCUUGAGGAGAUAGUCAAAUAUGUUCGAUUGAUUAUGAAAUUUUAGGUCUACUAUGAGCAUGAUGAUUAUUAUAUUUGUGGAUAAAUCAAAUAUUUAAUUAAUAUUGGAACAAUUUGGAUUUUAGUUAGUGAUUUUGAUCUUCAGAAGUUGGUCAAAUAUGUUCGGUGGAUUAAGGGAUUUAAGUCUAUUGGGCGGGUAUGUUGAUUAUUAUAUUGGUGGAUAAAUAGAUCCUUGAUUAAUCUUGAAACUAUUUGCUUUUAGUUACAUAUAAUUGUAAUGUUGAACCAAAUUUUACGGUGGAUUGUGAGACUUUAGGUGGGUUUAGUUAGAUGAUUAUGAUCUUGAGAUAGUCAAAGGUAUUCGGUGGAUUAUCAGAUUUUAGGGCUAGUAAGUGAACAUGAUGAUUAUUAUAUUGGUAGAUAAAAAGAUCUUUAAUUAAUCUUUGAAACAUUUGGAUUUGGUUACAUGAUUGUUAUCUUGAACCAAAUAUCACGGGGGAUUAUGAUUAGGUGUAUUUGGUUAGGUGAUUGUGAUUUUCAGGAGAUAGUUAAAGAUGUUCGGUGGAUAUGAGAUUUUAGGUCUAGUAUGAGCAUGUGUACUUUAUAUUGGUUGAUAAAUACAUUUUCAACAACAAUUUGGAUUUAGUUACAUGAUUGUUAUGGUCUUGAAGCAAAUUUCACGAUGGAUCAUGAGUUUUUGGUGGAUCUAGUUAGCUGAUUGUGAUCUUGAGGGAAUAGUCAAAGAUGUUUGAUGGAUUAUGAGACAUAUCUUUAAUUAUCUUGGAACAAAUUGGAUUUAGUUAGGUGAUUGUGAUCUUCAACUAAAUUUUACGAUGGAUUAUAAGAGUUUAGGUGGAUUUAGUGAGGUGAUUGUGCUCUUAAGAAAAUAGUUAGUGAGCAUGACGAUUAUUCUAUGUGAGUGACCAAGACGAUGAUGCCACAAAGAGUCGGUAGACAAGGAGAGGCGAAGAGACUGGCCGUGGUGUCAUCAGAGGGAAGGGGAAGCUAGUCAGCUCCCAGAGGGCCUGGGAGUUAUAGCGUCGAGGAGCAGCAACAAGUAGAGCAUCCGAGUGAGGAUCGGAAUCGGAACAAGAGUUAAAGUCAAGAAUGUAACCACCUGAAAUGAGCUGCAUGGGUCGAGGGACAUGAGCAAAACUAGGAACAUGAAAAGAUGAAGUGCUAAGAGUGCCCCGACUAUCGAUUGGGAGGAAAGUUCCUAAGAACGUGAACAUGAGAAUCUGGAGGUUGAAUGGCAGACAAAUGGAAGAAUCAAACAAAGAAGCACUUGGCAGUGAAACUAGAAGUGGAUGUCAAAGUCGUGCAAUUUUUGUUUCUCGUUGAUCUGGCUUGGUGUCCUUCCCUUGUAUGCGGGUUAUGUGUCACGGACUUGAUGUCGCAUCCUACGUUCCCUUGUUGGGGGCCCUUGGCCCCGGCGACAGGUAGCGUCGUGCACACAUCCUGUGGGUUAGACAUUGCGGUGCCGACUGCCCCUGCUCCUGCUUCGCCGAUAGGUGGUGCUCGAGCGUUCGGCUAUGGCGGCGCCCAGCAGGGGAACAUGGGUUGUGGGAUCGAGGCAGCACACAAAGCAACCUGUAGCCAAGCAAAGGAUGCCCAACCGGACUGGCGUGGAGCGGAGAGUGCACGAGGGGUGUGGGGGAAGGGUGAAAAUGUCGUCGGGAGUGGGACUGCCGCUGCCGUCAGAUUUUGAACCUGGAGUCGAGCGGUGAUGACGAUAUGGGAAGCAAGGAAGGCAGGAAGAGGGCACUUGGGAGGAGAAAGGCAUCAUCCACCCUAUGCUUGUGCGUCAACCAUGAUAGUGGACAGUUGUGGGCAGAUCCGAUGUCUGCACGUGGAUCUACUACUCGGGAUGGCACGACAUGGUUGUUGUGGAAUGAAGUGCCACAACUGUUGGGUUGUGUGGGUGAGUUUGGAGAGAUAGAAAUCGUGUUUCACUCUAGUCUAGGCCUUCAACUGUACCAAGUUCGACUUAUUUAGAGUUUCUGCUCUCUCAAGCUCAAGCCUUUCUCUGAACCAAAUCUAACCCAAGAAAUUGCUUAGCUAUAAAAGUUUUGAUAGCAUGGACUUGUAUUGAUGUGCUUAACUUAUGGAAUUGUAAGAGCACUGGUUAAGCACCAACAACUUUUGCCUGGAAUAAAGCCGACAUGAAAUCGUGAUUGUGUGAGUUAAUCAUUUUACAUCCUUAAGCCCCAACAUGCGCCAAGUUGGGUGGUGCCAUACAGAAUUUGUUUUGAGUUAUGAUUGGAGUUUGAUGGUGAUGUAGAACUGAUACAAAAUUUGUUUUGAGGAGUUUAUUUAAAUCAUGGUUAUGAUGUUGGUGGGUUGCUUUGUGUUAAAUUCACACUUUUGGAGAUUGAAGUUGGAUUACUUUAGGGUGUAGUAUGAUCAACCUUGGAUAUAUCAGAUAUUUAUAGGUUAGAUGAGAGUUUGCAGCACCAAUCAUGAUUAUCAUAAUGGGUGGAUUAUUGGAGCAAAUGGAAUUGGAUUAGUAGUAAGGAAACAAGGAUUUUGAAGUAACAUGACUUGUGUUUCCUUUAGGCUAGAUGAAACUUAGCAACAUCAAUCAUGGUUAUGAAAGUAGUGGAUUAUUGGAGCGUCUAGGAUUGGAAGGAAACAAGGAUCUUGGAGUAGCACAACUUGUGUUUCCUUUAGGUUAAAUGAUAUAGCUACUUGGAUUCAAGGAUGGAGAUAACUUUGGCACUCGGAUUUGUGAUGUUUUGAUCUAAGCUUACAAGGUUGCAUUUGCCCCAUAUGGAUAUAGGAUAUAAUCAUGAAUAUGAUACAUGUGGAUCAGAGUUGUUAGACGUAGGUGAUUUUUGUGUCCCUCCCCUAGAAUGUCACAAGUACAAGAUCAUCAUUUUGGAUUAAUUUGAAGAGAUGGCUAUUUUGAUGGUAUGUGAUAACCUUGUGGGAGUUGGGCCAUGUGAGCAUCAUAAUAGAGAGAAGCGGUGUCUAAGUAUGUUAUGGUGAGUUUUCACCCUCACAUCCAAAUCCUAUCAACCCUUAAGUCUCACCCUUAACUCUCACCAAACCAUGACUUAGUCGAGCCGUGAUAGCGGAGCUGGAUAUUAAGCCUAAGUAUGUGAGCUGGAUAUUAAGCCUAAGUAUGUGGCCCUUGGACUAACCGUUAUACUCCACCUAUUUGAUGAACAUCAUGAACAACAUGUUCAUGAGUUCUUGGACAAGUUUGUGGUUAUCAUCAUUGAUAACCUGUUGGUCUAUUCUCCCUCCGAGGAAGAUCAUAAGCAACACUUCAGAAUGGUUUUGUACAAACUUCAAGAACCCCAAUUAUAUGCCAAGUUCAAGAAGUAUAAAAUCCGGCUAAAAGAUGUUGGGAUGUGAGGACAUGUUUUGUCCAUAGAAGGUUUGUUAAUAGACCCGUCGAGGAUAGAAUCCAUAACCACGUGGAAGGCUAAACGAAUGUGAAGUCAGAAGUUUCCUUGGACUUACGGGUUAUUACCACAAAUUUGUGGAAGACUUCGAGCACCACUAAUGACUUAACUCCUGAAGAAAGAUAAGAAGUUUGAAUGAACGCCCAAGUGUGAAGAGAGCUUCCGAGAGUAUAAGAAAACGUUAACCACUGAUCCGUGCUUAGCCACCCCAAACAUUUAUAAGAGUUUUAAAUUUAUUGUGUCUAAGCAUGGACUUUGUUCUGUCUUGACGUAAGAAGGAAGACUCGUGGCCUAUCAAGGCAACUACGUCCUCAUGAAGAGAACUACCCUAACCAUGAUUUGGAUCUAGCAGCAGUAGUGCAUGCUUUAAGUGAAGAUGGUUAGAUUUAAUCAACCACUAUGACUUUGAUGUCCAUUACCAUCCAAAUAAGUGACGUAGUGGAUACUCUCAGCUGGAAUUCGUGUCCCUGUCCUGCCUUGACCAAGCAGAGCAAUUAGUGCUACCUGAAGUCUUCGAUAAGUUUGCCAUAGAGCUAGUCAGUAGUGGCUAUCACGCUAACUUCGAUAUUAGGCCCACUCCUAGGUUGAAUCAAGAAGAAUAGAAGAAAUCAAUGAAAUGAUCAAGCAUGAGAAAGCCUUGCAUUCUUAGAAGAUGAGCAAUGUGUUCUUUGGUUUAGAGGUCACAGCUGCAUACCAAACAAAUAAGGUUUGAAGAUGUGGAAUCUACAAGUAGCUUAUGGCACCCCUUUAUUCCAUCCACCUAGGGAGUACCAAGUUAUACCAGGACCAAGUGAGUUCUUAGUGGAAUGGAAUGGAUUUAGUUAGGUGAUUGUGAUCUUGUGGAGAUAGUCAAAUGUGUUCUGUUGAUUAUGAGAUUUUAGGUCUAGUAUGAACAUGCUGAUUAUUAUAUUGGUGGAUAAAUCAGUAUUUCAAUUAUUGGAAGAAUUUGGAUUUUAGUUAGGUGAUUUUGAUCUUCAGAAGAUAGUCAAAUAUGUUCGGUGGAUUAAGGGAUUUAACUCUAUUGGGCAAGUAUGGUGAUUAUUGUAUUUAGUUAGGUAUAACUGUGAUCUUGAACCAAAUUUUACGGUGGAUUGUGAGACUUUAGGUGGAUUUAGUUAGGUGAUUAUGAUCUUGAGGAGAUAGUCAAAGGUGUAUGGUGGAUUAUCAGAUUUUAGGGCUAGUAAGUGAGCAUGAUGAUUAUUAUAUUGGUAGAUAAAUAGAUCUUUAAUUAAUCUUGGAAAUAUUUGGAUUUAGUUACGUGAUUUUUAUCUUGAACCAAAUAUCGCGGGGAUUAUGAUUAGGUUGAUUUGGUCAGGUGAUUGUGAUCUUCAGGAGAUAGUUAAAGAUAGUCAGGUGAUUGUGAUCUUGAGGGAAUAAUCAAAGAUGUUUGGUGGAUAAUGAGACAUAUCUUUAAUUAAUCUUGGAACAAAUUGGAUUUAGUUACGUGAUUGGUAUCUUGAAGCAAAUUUGACGAUGGAUUUUGAUUUUUUUGGUGGAUUUAGUUAGGUGAUUGUGAUAUUCAAUUAAAUUUUACUGUGGAUUAUAAGAUUUUAAGUGGAUUUGGUUAGAUGACUGAGCUCUUGAGAAAAUAGUUAGUGAGCAUGAUUAUUAUUCUAUUGAUGGAUAAAUAGAUCUUUAUUUAAUUUUGGGUAAUUUGAAUUUAGUUAGGUCAUUGUUAUCUUGAACCAAAUUUUACGGUGGAUUUUAAGUUUUUUUGUUGGAUUUAGCUAGGUGAUUGUGAUCUUGAGGAGAUAGUCAAAGAUGUUCGGUGGAUUGCGAGAUUUUAGGUCUAGUAUGGGCAUUGUUGUUAUUAUAUUGGUGAAUAAACAUAUCUGUAAUUAAUCUUGGAACACUUUGGAUUUAGUUAGGUACUUAGGUGAUUCUGAUCUUGAAGCAAAUUUGACCACAGAUUAUGAGUUUUUGGUGGAUUUAGUUAGGUAAUUGUGAUCUUCAGGAUAUAGUUAAAGAUGUUUGGUGGAUUAAGAGAAUUUUGUUCUAUUACAUGAGCGUCGUGAUUAUUAUGUUGGUGGAUAGACAUAUUUUAAUCUUGGAACACUUUGGAUUUAGUUAGGUGAUUGUGAUCUUCAAGCAAAUUUACCCGUGGAUUAUGAGAUUUUAGGUGAUUGUGAUUUUGAGGGGAUAGUCAAAGAUGUUCGGUGGAUUAUGAGAUUUUUAAUCAAACAUGUUUGGUGGAUUAAGGGAUUUUAGUUCAGUACGUGAGCAUGGUAAUUAUUAUGUUGGUGGAUAGACAUAUUUUUAAUUAAUCUUCGAACACUUUGGAUUUAGUUAGGUGAUUGUAAUCUUCAAGCAAAUUUUUUUGUGGAUUAUGAGAUUUUAUGUGAUUGUGAUCUUAGGGAGAUAGUUGAAGAUAUUCGGUGGAUUUUGAGAUUGUAGGUCUAGUAUAAACAUGGCUACUACUCCCUCUGUUCCUUUAUAUAAGGUGUAUUUAUUUUUUCAAAAGUCAAACGAGUGCAUGUUUGACCAAGUUUUCAGAAAAAUAUAUCAAUAUCCACAAUAUUAAAUUUAUAUAAUUUGAUUGAUCAUGAAAGGUAUUUUCAUAUUUUAUCUAUUAGGUAUUGCAUAUGUUUCUACUUUGUUCUAUAAUCUUGGUCAAACUUUCAAUUGGUUGACUUGCACGGAAACCAAUACAACUUAUAUUCUGGAACGGAGGGAGUAUUAUAUUGGUAGAUAAAGUUAUCUUUAAUUAAUCUUGAAAUAAUUUGAAUUUAGUUAGGUAAUUGUGAUCUUGAAGCAAAUUUGACAAUGAAUUUGGAGUGGGUUUAGUUAGGUAAUUGUGAUCUUGAGGAAUUAUGAGUUUUUGGUGGAUUUAUGAGUUUUUGGUUGAUUUAAUUAGGUAAUUGUGAUCUUGAGGAGAUAGUCAAAGAUGUUUGGUGAAUUAUGACAUUUUAGUUCUAGGAAGUGAGGAUGGUGAUUAUUAUGUUGGUGGAUAAACAGAUUUUCAAUUAGUCUUCGAACAAUUUAGAUUUAAUUAGGCGAUUGUUAUCUUCAAGCAAAUUUACGGGUGGAUUGUGUGAUUUUAGGUGGAUUUAGUUAGGUGAUUGUCAUCUAGAGGAGAUAGUCAAAGAUGUUCCCUACCAAUAUAUUGGUGGAUAAUCAAAGAGGCCCCAACUACGUGCUCCCUUAAAGUAUUGCAUUAGCUUAUUCACAAAAUAUCUGUAAUUAAUGGAACAAAUUGGAUUUAGUUGGGUAAUUGUGAUCUUGAUGCAAAUUUGAUGAUGGAUUAUGAGUUUUUGUGUGGAUUUACUUGGAUGAUCAUGAUCUUGAGGAGAUAGUAAAAUGUUCAAUGAAUUAUGAGAUUUUAGAUCUAGUACUUGAGCAUAAUGAUUAUUAUAUUGAUGGAUAACCAGAUCUUCAAUUAAUCUUGGAACACUUUUGAUUUAGUUAGGUGAUGGUGACUUGAAGCAAUUUUGUCUGUGGAUUAUGAUAUCAUAGGUGGAUUGAGUUAGGUGAUUGGUGUUGAGGGGAUACUCAAAGAUGUUCAGAGGAUUAUGAGAUUUUGGGUCUACUAUGAGCAUGGCUACUAUUAUAUUGGUGGAUAAAUAGAUCUUCAGUCAAUCUUGCGACAAUUUGGAUUUAGUUAGGUGAUUAUGAUCUUGAACCAAAAUUCACGGUGCAUGAUAAAAUUUUAGGUGGAUUUAGUUAGAUGAUUGUGAUCUUGAGGAGAUAGUAAAAAAUGUUCGGUGAAUUAUGAGAUUUUAGGUCUAAUAUGAGCAUGGUUACUACUAAUAUUGGUGGAUAAACAGAUCUUCAAUCAAUCUUGCAACAAUAUGGAUUUAGUUAGGUGAUUAUGAUCUUGAACCAAAAUUCACGGUGGGUUAUAAAAUUUUAGGUGGAUUUAGUUAGGUGAUUGUGAUCUUGAGGAGAUAGUCAAAAAGUUCGGUGGACUAUGAGAUUUUAGGUCUAGUAUGAGCAUGGCUAUUAUUAUAUUGGUGGAUAAACAUAUCUCCAAUUAAUUUUGAAACAAUUUGGAUUUAGUUAGGUGAUUGAACUUGAAGCAAAUUUAACGAAGAAUUACGAGUUUUUCUUUGAUUUAGUUAGGUGAUUGUGAUCUUGAGGAGAUUGUCAAAGAUAUUCGGUGGAUUAUUGGAUUUUAGGUCUAGUAAGUGAGCAUUAUGAUUACUCUCUUGAUGGAUAAGUAGAUCUUUAGAGAUCGGCGGGUGGACAACAUGAAACAACCGGACUUGUGGAAGAUGUCGUCCAAGAUACACCGGUGACGAUAUACGUAGCACCCGAAGGCCAUCCCCACAACAGCAACCAUUGCCCAACACCACGCCACCCCAAGCCUCACGAAACCACCAAGGCAACCAACACCACGAGCACUCAGGCAGCAAUUCGACGAUGUGGUGCCGCCGCUCCCAGGUCCGGAGAAGUGGACCUAGGGGACGGUCAAGGCUUCCAGGGAGGAGACGGAGCCCACAAACGUCGCCAUUGUUCGCAGCCACUGCUGCAGCUGCAGCCACGCAGGGAUUUUCCCCGAGCACCUUGCCACCAACCACGCCACCGUGAAGCAGAACAUGUCUUCGAAUGAGACAUCACAUGUCCAAGCCAAGCUUAGUUUCUGAGUCAAAAGAUGUCUUCGAUCAGAAAGCCAGUAACAAGUAUUGGAUUGAUGUGCAACUAAGAUGGGGAGACUACGAUUCACACGGCAUAGAACGUUACACAAGAACAGAAUUUAUGGACUACACAGACAGAUAAUAUGUCCAUCUACCCUUCUCCGACUGGGGUGAUGAUUGGACUGAUCUAGCUUAUAAUUUGCACUCUGCUUUUGGUAACUGCUUCCCCGGGUGAAAGCCCCUCCUCUAGCAAGCAAUGAACAAGAUCAUGAAGUCAAAUCCUGCUAUGUAUGUGCCGAGGGAGAGAAUAAGAAAGGGUCCUCAAUUGUCAUCCAUAGAAGUGUAUGGGCGGGACAAAAGUGUCUAGGGCAGCUGGCCAAGUGGAAAACAGCCGAGGAGGUUGCUGCACUAGUUCGAUCGCUUCCCGUUGAAGAGCAGCCAAAGCAAAUUAUUUUGACAAGGAAGUGUGUGUUGGAAGUCCAUCUGCCAUUCCAAGCUUGCUUGAAGAUUGACAAGUUUGGUCUCAAGGCUACAGAACCGCAGAUGGUUCUUUAUAACAUAUACGAUGACUGGUUGAAAAGUAUCUCGUCCUACACUGCAUUCUCUCGUCUUGUGCUUAUACUACGAGCAUUACAUGUCAAUAAUGAGAAGGCCAAGAUGUUGCUGAAGCCCGACAAGACAAUGGUUACGGAACUGCUUCAUAUCUGGCCAUCAAUCUUUGACUGAUGAGUACUGUCUGAAGGUGGAAUGUGCGCUCAGGGAUCUCAUUUUUUCAGAUUAUGCAAAGAAAAACAAUGUUAAUACUUCUGCUCCACCGUCACAGCAGAGGCAACAGAUAGCCGAGAUUGAGAAACAUUCCCGACAGCUAGGCAGCGGUUAAUUUGAAAAGAAAACGAGAGUAUAAACUCAUGGCAUUGUCUCUAUUGUAAAAUUUCACAUCCAACCCACAAAGUUAAGUCUUGCGCCAGCGACUGAUGCAAUGUAGUGAUCCAUGGUUGCAGCUCCUGAGAAAUACAGACAGACCACUCAGUUUAUUGCAAGUAUUUCUUCAGUUCAGCUUAUUACCAGAUGUAGUUAUUUGAAAAAAUGCAAUAUUCUUGAGCCGUUCACAAUUUGCAUUCAUGGGUGCAGUUUAUUUCACGGCAAAGAAGGUUGAUUAUAUGAACUUAUAUCAGAGAACUGCACUGAUUAUAUGAACUUAUAUCAGAGAACUGCAUCUACCUAGAAUCUACAGACACAGGAUGCAGGCUUCCUGCAUGGGCAGGAUAAAUCACCGAUUUAUCCUUUUUCUAUGGAAUUUCCUGUGUUAUUUUUUUGACUUAUUGAGUUGUUUUUGUCUCUGCAUUUGACAUGGGCCAAAUGGAUAAUUUUGUGUUGGUGAUGCAGAUUGGAAUACUGCUCGGUGGUGUUACACUCUUUGGAAAUUGAUGACCCUUUUUUGUUGGUUUUGAUAAUUUGCUAUUAAAUGCGGAUCUUGCCUUACCUAUAUGAUAGGGAGGUAAUUCGUGAACUUGCAAUUGUGAGAUGGGCGGAAGAAAAAGGAAAUGCUGAUGGGUCCAAUAAAGUUUUCGUCAAACAGUCUGUUGCUUUUAUUCAGCAAGACCCACAUUGUGCUGCAAUUUGUCGAAGAAGAGUAGAGUUGAAGUGAAAUGCAUCGUGCUGCAAUUUGGGUGGUGUCCUGAAGAAUGACGCCUUGUUUACAGAACCCUGGAAAUGCUCUGAAAAAGAAGGAUCGUACUGGGGCGUUGACUGAAUGGUGCACCUGAUGCCAGCAAGCGCUCACACUCGUCCCUUGUUUAUUUUCCGCUGAAUGGUGGUGUUGAUCUUUCGAUUUGUUGUAACCUUUCAAUUGUAUUGUGUGGCUUGGCACUCCACGGAUACCAAGUAUUUUGGUAUGCCGCGACUUAUUCGGUUAACAAAGAUUGGCUGGCUGUUUGUUGAACAUGAACGUCUGUUUGCGACAUGAAUGAUAGCGCCCUGGCUGUUUGUUGAACAUGAACGUCUGUUUGCGACAAGACAUCCUUUUUAGGUAAUUUUGUCUCUCAUUUUA